AAACAACUCGCCGGCGCGCGGGCGGCCGUUGGAGCCGGGCGCAAAGCCCCCGAGCCGGCCGCGCUGCUCCACGAGGGCCCGCGGCCGGGAGCCCACUCGUGCGGCCCGGCCCCGGGGGCAAGGGCGUGUGCGGGGGGCGCGCUGCCUCCCGGCCCUUCUCCGCACCCCCUUGCUGCCUCCCGCACUCAGGUGUCCCGCUGACCCGACCAGGGCCUUGUCCCCUCCGCACUGGGUGACGCCCACGGCAUGUAAACGCAUAGGUCGGCCCCUCAGCCUCCCCCCCCCCCACCCAAGGGGCCACUCAGGGCAAGGCCUCUAACACCACAUCCAGCCAGGCUCACGAGUGUUUCAAAAGAAAGCUUCAACUGAACCAAAAGAAGAUAACUCCAGGACCUUCUUUCCAAUCCCAGCUGGCAUCCCCUAGCUCAACAGAGCCCAGCUGGACUCUCCUCCUGGCCUGCAGCCAACUCCCCGGGGCUUGGGUCCUCCUGCCCGACGUCUCAUGGUUAAGGACUCGGCUCCCCUCUCCAUGCUUUCCUGUCCCCUUCUGGCAUGUGUCCCCAGCAUCUGCAACUCCGGGGCUGCUUCACCUGAAUGGAGGAACUAUGGUUCUUGUGGCAUCUUCUUCUCUUUCGGCACUGUAGUCUCUACCCCUGUGGUGAGUUUAACCAGCUUUUCCUUUCUCCCUUCACAUUAAGCACUACUGCUGCAUAGUCUAAAUCAACUCAUGCUUUUGAAAUAUGCAUAAAAAGUAUCUGUAUGAACUUGGAAUAAAAAUAUUCCAGGGGUACUAUAUCAAUUCAUUGUGCCAAAAUACAACUUUUAAAAUUA